GUAGAGAAGAGAAAGCAGAGACCAGGAGGAGAAGGAAGAACAAAAAAAAAAAAAAAGAGGAAGCCAUCAUGAGAGGAGAUGGACCAUGAGCCUGUGGCCAGGAGAAACAGCAAGCUUCCCAACCAGCAAGUCUUUCCAGAUUGUCAGCAGAGCCCAGACCACACCUUAGCUCCACAGCCGCUUUGAAUUUAUGGAUGCAGUUAGCUAUGGUGUUUACUCUCCCUGCCCCUCUGUAUUGUUAACCUCCCCUCCCCCAAGCUGGACUCCCCUUGAAGGAGCUCUUUGUUUCCCCCUUAGUUGUAGCUUUUAUCAGACAGCAGUGGGGGUCAGAGGGUUUGAGUGGCAGGCUUCGCAGGCAGUCUGGUGACUGACUGUCUUGGUGGGUUUAAAGAAAACAGAGAGGGCUGAAGCACCCGGGGAGAUGCGUCCCCACGCCCCUGUAACUGAGAAACAAUACCACUCAAUAUUCCAACCGGCUGGGGCUGGAGCGAUGGCUCAGAAGUUCAGAAUGCUUGCUGCCCUUGCAGAGGACCUGAGUUUGGAGUCAGCACCUAAGUUGGGCAGCUCUCAACCACCUGUAAUUCCAGCUCCAGAGGAUCUGACACCCUCUUCUGGCCUCCUCAGGCACCUGCACUCACAUGCAC
rnacentral:lncRNA from 1 species